GCCGCGGCGGCAGGCCAGGAGAGGAAGAUGUUGAACUGGAGAGAGAAAGGAGGAGAAAAGAUUGGGGGGCUGGGCGGGAGGAGAAGGGUGUGUCUGAGGCCUCCGGCCCCUCUCCCACCUGCUCCCACAGAGACAAUGACAAGAUAAAAAAGAAAAUACUGAAGCUUAAGGAACGCCACGAAUCUCUGCAAGACGAUAUCUACACGCUGGAGGAACGUCUGUGUUCUUGCACCUGCCCUGAGAACCGAUCGAACCACGAACACAAAGAGAGCAAAAGGGCUGCGAACACAGGGCGACGGCUCCCGUGAGUACCCGAGGCCGGAUGCACCACCCCGUCCCCCCACGGAAACAAACCCCCUCUGGGGUUCAAUAAACUUCUCUCCGGGGCUGGGAACCCCUCUGAU
ensembl:lncRNA